GAAUUCCCCCUUAGAGUUUGAUCCUGGCUCAGGACGAACGCUGGCGGCGUGCCUAACACAUGCAAGUCGAACGGGGUUACUAUGGAAGAACCUUCGGGUUUGGAAGUUUUAACUUAGUGGCGAACGGGUGAGUAACGCGUGAGAAACCUGCCUUUCAGUGGGGGACAACAGUUGGAAACGACUGCUAAUACCGCAUAACAUACCGAGGGGGCAUCCCCAUGGUAUCAAAGCUUAAUGUGCUGAAAGAUGGUCUCGCGUCUGAUUAGCUAGAUGGCGGGGUAACGGCCCACCAUGGCGACGAUCAGUAGCCGGUCUGAGAGGAUGAACGGCCACAUUGGGACUGAGAUACGGCCCAGACUCCUACGGGAGGCAGCAGUGGGGAAUAUUGGGCAAUGGGGGAAACCCUGACCCAGCAACGCCGCGUGAAGGAAGAAGGCUUUCGGGUUGUAAACUUCUUUUAGCAGGGACGAAGGACGUGACGGUACCUGCAGAAAAAGCAACGGCUAACUACGUGCCAGCAGCCGCGGUAAUACGUAGGUUGCAAGCGUUGUCCGGAAUUACUGGGUGUAAAGGGCGUGUAGGCGGAGGUGCAAGUUGGGAGUGAAAUCCCGGGGCUCAACCCCGGAACUGCUUUCAAAACUGCAUCCCUUGAGUGUCGGAGAGGCAAGCGGAAUUCCUAGUGUAGCGGUGAAAUGCGUAGAUAUUAGGAGGAACACCAGUGGCGAAGGCGGCUUGCUGGACGAUAACUGACGCUGAGGCGCGAAAGCGUGGGGAGCAAACAGGAUUAGAUACCCUGGUAGUCCACGCUGUAAACGAUGAAUACUAGGUGUGGGAGGACUGACCCCUUCCGUGCCG
rnacentral:rRNA from 1 species